AAGCACGGCUUCGCAGCGCACAACCGGGGAGCUUGCUCCCACUCACGCUGCGGGGAAAGUCCCCGUGCCUUGGGUCAGAGAGUGUCAGCGGGAGACCGCAGGGCGUCGGCUUGCUUGCAGGCAGUGAAACCUUUGGUGGAUUUGCAGCAGCAGGCUUGGGCCUUUCGCAGCAGCAUAGGCAUGCCGUGAGCGCUCGUCACAGGAUGAGGGCGCCAACUGAACGGGGCUCACUCUC
rnacentral:RNase_MRP_RNA from 1 species